rnacentral:rRNA from 1 species
AUUGAACGCUGGCGGCAGGCCUAACACAUGCAAGUCGAACGGUAGCACAGAGAGCUCGCUCUCGGGUGACGAGUGGCGGACGGGUGAGUAACGUCUGGGAAACUGCCCGAUGGAGGGGGAUAACUACUGGAAACGGUAGCUAAUACCGCAUAACGUCGCAAGACCAAAGUGGGGGACCUUCGGGCCUCACACCAUCGGAUGUGCCCAGAUGGGAUGAGCUAGUAGGUGGGGUAAUGGCUCACCUAGGCGACGAUCCCUAGCUGGUCUGGGAUGAUGACCAGCCACACUGGACCGGAGGCCCGGUCCAGACUCCUACGGGAGGCAGCAGUGGGGAAUAUUGCACAAUGGGCGCAAGCCUGAUGCAGCCAUGCCGCGUGUAUGAAGAAGGCCUUCGGGUUGUAAAGUACUUUCAGCGGGGAGGAAGGCGGUGAAGUUAAUAACUUCACCGAUUGACGUUACCCGCAGAAGAAGCACCGGCUAACUCCGUGCCAGCCGCCGCGGUAAUAC